GGGGGGGGGGGGGGGGUGUUUUGGUUGCGAAGCUGAUGAAGUACAGAUAAAGACAGAACAAGCACAGAACGUCACAGUCAGCUGUUCUGUCGCAGGCAGGACGCACGCGCUUGUCAGCUCCAGAUGCACUGUGUGUGUAUGUGUGUGUGUGUGUGUGUGUGUGUGUGUGUGUGUGUGUGUCGUGUUUGCUUUUCAGCGAGUCCAUAUCACAUCAGUCCAAAGGUUCAAUCUGACUAAAUACAACAAGGCCAGAAUGACUGAACAAAGAGAAUCAAGCCAGAACUGAACUCCAGUGCUUCACCCACAAGACCCCAAACAAGAAGAGACCUCACAACCUUCACCAGCAGUACCUUGUGACAGACCUUAUGCUGCACUGCUUCAGUGCACGUGUGCUGGGACAUAGCUGAACGUAGCGAGGGCAGCGAGGUCAGGACACUUUUAGAACCCGGGAGCAGGAGAUCGAAAAAGACUCUUCACGAGUCCCUACUGCGUCUCACUGCAACCUCCUAUUGUGGUCUGGCUCCGUGUGCAGGAUCCGCCGGCACAGACGCACUGUGUUGUGUGUUCAGCGGCGGGUCGAGCCUGACUCCUGUGGUUCCCCUCCACAGCCAUCAGUCAAGUUUAAGAGGCCGGAGACAGAAGCAACCCCCCAGACACGCAGCCUGCAGCACAGAGCCACCAUUCAGCUCCACACGCUGCCAUUUAGCCCCAUUCUUCACAGCUAAUGCAGUGCAAAUCCAGCCUGUGUCAGCUUUCUGCAGGAGCCCUUUAGCUGCUCGCUAACUUUUAACUCAGCUGUGAAGUUCAGUCAUGAAAUAUUAAACUGACCUUCAUACAGACGCUCUAGUCUGUAGAGCGAUCUCAUUUUGUGUUGAGGAUCAGAGGGCGACUACACAGAUGUGAACAUCAGGAUCAGGAAUGCAGGGUUUGCUGACUCUGCUUUGCAGCUGUGAUGUGAGUGAGUCACGCUGAUCCUCGUGUUCGGGAUCAGAGUCCAGCCAAGAAAAACAACACAUCAUAGUGAUUGUAAACGCUUUGGGCUUCUUCUCUGUUAGCAUCAGAAUAAACACCCGUCACGAAUAAUGUACCACAUGCGCCGCUGUUUCGACCCUGCAGACACAUCCUGCUCGUUAAAGACAGCAUGCAUUGUGGUGUCCGUUUCUGUCGCCAAUGACAUUUUUAGAUUUCAAGGACAGCCCGAGUUUCCUCCUCGCUCGUUUUCCAUUGUUUCUGCAGCGACACUGAUCCUCGGGGAGCAGAGCGGCCGCCAGGACUGAGGACCAGCAGCCAAUGGAAGGACAGGACAGACAGGCCCCGAGGCUGAUGGGAACGAAACCCCGUCCUCCCCUGCUCGGCUGUUCAGACACACGUUUUCCUUCACUGCACUACGAGCCACAGCACACUCAGAUUUACGGGCGCUGUUCCUGCUAAAGGUCGAGGGCAUCCCAGCUGUUGGCUGACAGGGUGAGGCAUACAGGUGUCAGGAGUUACUGCUCCUGCUCUUUGCUGCCCCCUGCAGGUACGUCUGUGUUGUUGAACUGUUCUGUAGGAGCCACAUGACGCUCACACUAUCAGAUCAUAUUUUAAACUGAUCUAAGCUGAAAGCUUAUGUGUGAACAGGACACCACUGAAACACAUGAACCUUUGUGUCAUUAUUUUAAAAAAAAUGUAUUUGUAUGUACUUACAUACUGGUGUCAAAAAGAGUAUCCACCAAAAAUGUCACAUUGACUUACAAUUACAAAGAAAAAGCAUUUUCUUCAAUUACAAGUAUUGAAAAAACUAUGUACAUAAAAAAGGGCAUGGUGACGAGAUAGUACACUGGAAACAAACGUAGUCACAAUGUGGUUUGAAACGAAGCCUUGGGAAAAAAAGAAAAUCAGUUACAGUCUUCAUACUUCCACUCAAAGUUUCCUUUGUGUAUCCUCUCUUCACUCAAGCGUCAGGCCGUUGUCAGGCGUUCACAGAAGUGAUUUUAUAAACCAGAGAAUUAAUUCAGCAAAAAUGAAAAUGAUCAGCAUUCGAGGGGAAAUUCAUUCUCUCUUACUUAAAACACAUGUUCAAGAGCGAGUCUUAAAAAGGUGUUACAGCUGAAACAGGGACAAAGAGGGAGCGUAGUUGGUAGAGACCUGGAAACUGUGUGUUGAGCUCUGGUCCAGGGCAUCAAACACACACAGGCCAGACGUUCCUCCCUUUGCUCGUCUCCCUGUGAUCGUCUGAGACAGGUGGAAAGUACACAAGCUCCCAAAAACCGUGGCAUCUUUUCCGUGACAUGAGGGGAAAAAAAAGCAGGAAUGAAAAUAUAGAAGGCAGCAGGAUGAUGGACCGUUCAGGGCGUGGUGCAAACAAAACAAAUGUGGGAAAGAGGUGGUAACGAAAAACCAAUAGGACCUGGACAAAUACUCAAUCAUCCCUUUGCUGCUCCUCUGAAAGCAAUCAAACCUGUCAAAUUCAGUGAAACACUAGAUUCACACAUGCAGUCUCUGAGCUUGAAUAUUCAAUUUGAUGCAUUAAGUAGUUCUACAUUCAAAAUGUUGCCAUUCUUGAGAUCGCUCUCUGUUUGAUUAAUCUAAUAACAGUAUUUAAAUCAUGAAACUGCAAUGGAAACACACGUCACACUGGAACAGCAAAUGCAAGCAGAUGUUGGUCACUACAUAAACCUUCAAAUUCUAACAGUCUCCAAAUGUUUCCAACAACUGCACUGCAAAUGUGUGAAGGUGAAGGCUGGCUCGUUCUGGUUAUAAAUACAUGUAAAAGGAUGUAGGUAUUUAUAUGUCAGUGAGCAGCAAGGAGUUCUAAACGUUGACAUUUUUUCAAAUUUUUAACUAGAACAAAAAAAAACAAAA